rnacentral:lncRNA from 1 species
UCCCGCAAAAAAAAAUUACACAUAUCUCAUAUGCUUGUAAAGUAUAGAUGACUAACGUAUAAUCAUGGUUGCCAAGUUGAAAAGAAGAUCUUGCAUAUGGACUGACAUAUUCUAAACACAGUAUUACAAUCUCCAUCACAACGGUUCAGAGAUGAAUGGCAGGCAUAGAAAAGUAAACUGAAAAUUGUUGCAACUCACGUCUGACAAAACUCGAAAGUCAAAACUUUUCACCAACAGAGGUAUAUAUAGGGGAGCCAAUAUAUACAUGGAUCAGUGUGCAGUGCAUGUAGUAAUUAAACACAGGGCAAAAUGUCAAUCUAACCUGUGCAGCGCAUGCGAGAUCAAGGCGCCCGCACGACAACGUGAUUCAGUGGUCAGGCCACCGGCCUCCUCGGUCCUGUAGCCUUUUGUGGUGUCUGUAGAGAUCGUGUGGGCAGCGACACCACGAUGCGCUGAAGAUGGUCACCUUGAGCCAAGGGCGCUACAACGCUGUGGUCCUUAGAGGUAGCGACACCACAAUUUAGUAUUUCAAAUAAAUGUCCUACCCAGUCAAAGUAAGGGAAAAUUAAUUCAAAGCAAAGACGAAACAAAAUUUUGGGACAUUGGUAAACAAGGUAAAACAUGAAGAUAUAUCAGCUAAAAUCUUUACGUCCACAUUGGGACAUUGGUAAACAAGGUAAAGCAUGAAGAUAUAUCAGCUAGAAUCUGACCUCCACAUUGCAGUAAAAAGUACCGAGAAACAAUGUAAAACAUGACGAAGAUCAGCUAGAAGUUGUACCUCCGCAUCGAGAUGCUGACAAAAUACUCGUCAACGGAAGUGCAGGGACCUAUAUCAAGUAUGGUGCUUGUGCAUAAGUAACACAAUCAGGUAAAGAGAAAUUGAAACAAAAUGCCAUAUGUUAGUUUAGGAUCCUCCAGCCAUUAAUUUCUGAAGUACAUUGUAUAUAAAAUAGAACUGUUUCUAUUUUUCUAAGCCCCUCCACUGAAUGCUUUAUUAUUAUAGCAAACAUGCCCGUGCGUUGCAACAGGAGAAAAAAAAUCAUACGCCUCUAGCCUAAUAAGCAUUUCUCAAGCCCCUUCUCUGGUCCAUCUCUAUUUAAAGACGAAACCUCAUUUUAGAAAAAGUAGCUAUUCUAUAGUUAUUCGGUUAGAUAAUAACUGGUUUCUUGCUCUAAAAAUAAUUUAACAGGUUAAUUAUGUCCCUUUGAAUAGUAAUGCUCACCUUUAAUACUUGGAUUGGACGGUGAACUUCAGAAACUCACCUCAUCUCUUCUUCUUCAGAAUGUCCAUCCCUUGCUAGUCUCAUGAAGAUGAGGUCUCAACAUUGUACCUGUAGAAAGAAAAUAUCAUGAUUAGUUUCGGACAAAAAUUGUUGGGUAAAGGAGAUAUGUUGCUCUUCUUUUCAUCAUUACGGAGUUAUGCAUCAGUAGAAAGAACCCAUAUCCCUAUGCAUGUCCUUGCUCAUUAAUGGAUUUUUUAGAUAGAGAAAGGAGAGCACAGACAUAAUAUGUUUUUCUAGAGAACAAUGCAGAUAAUAUUUAAGGAAACACUAACAAUUAACAUGGCAUAGGGCCGAGCUGAAACUUUACAAAACCUAAUGCAUGAGAAUAUGAGAUAGUACAUGAAUAGUAGGGCCAAGCUGCAUAGCUACAAGUUUCACUAAAGAUACAGUCUGGAUGAUAUCUCUACUCCAAGAGCAUCUACUGACAGAAAGAGGCUAUAAAACUUACCUCCAGCAGGCGAGCGGGCUGCAACCUCAAGAGCCUCUAGCACCCUGAUUGCAGUAAACCAGCUGUUUGGCCGUGCCAGCAUGUCCCAGCCUCCCAGUCACCACCCCGUGUGGUACCUCUACUGUACUGAGAAGCACACAACGACAUACCUGUCACACUCAAAUCGAGCACAUGGACUAACUGAAAUUAUUGAUGCACAUCUCGUCAAACAACUCGACAGUAUGAGGCUUACAGGAAUGCCGUGUGCUGGGUGAGCAAGAAAGGAUGUGGCAUGCUCAUACAGUGGGUCAUCCGGCAAAAUAUCUAUUGUGAAAUUUAAGCAGAAAAUCAAUAUGUAGUUGUGUUAUUUCUAGUUCAGUGCAUAAACUAAUUUAUCUCUCAAAUAAAACCAAUGAUUAACUGUGUGAAACAACAUUUAGAUAGAAAACAUUAUAUCUCAAACAUUGUACCAGUUUGUGGUUUAAUCUAUCAACAAAACCAAUGGUAUAUGCUGCUCCCUUAUUGCUAGUAUCAUCACAUUGCGGAAGGGGCAAAUUACUAACUGAUAAACACUGUGUACCGGACAACAAUGGCAUUCAGAAAAAUCCUUUGCCUUCACGUGUGUGCAGUACAGGACAUAUGUGCGAUUUGUCCCAAUCAUGCUCCAAGGAUCAAUGUGAUUUUCAGACUAAAUAAAAGGACAUGCAACUUCUUUGUUCUUCCAGGAACUGCAUAUAUGAAUAUAUGCAAGGCACGGUGAUUUCUUCUAAUGAAAAUCGGAGAGGGAGCUCUCUUUAUAAAAAAAAGGAACUGAAUAUAUGUCAAUUCUAGAACUUAAAUUUGCCGCAGGUGAUUACUUUGCUCCCCAUGAAAAUCAUUGUAAAAUUGUACCCUUUUAAACUAACACUUCUCCUAUUUGGAUAGAGUGCUCCAUCUCUUGGAAUUCAUCCAAACUUGUAUGUAGGCAAUUAGCUAAGGUCAUACAAUGCAUGCUUACCUGCCGUCCAGUGGCUGUUGCUGGAGUACUCUGGAGGCCUGCGAGCAUGGAGGAGAACCAGAAGUGUUAUCUACAGCGCCAAAGCACCUACAACAAAGCAAACACGCAUCGCCUCCUCGCGACCCAAGCACCACAACGAUGACAGAGAGAAGAACGUCCGCGCUUACCUGGCGAAGAUGGACGACGACCCCUGCGCCGGCGCAUCAACCUCGGCCUAGUACAGGCUGGCGACGUGGAUCUGCAUCCCUGCACCUAUGGACGGGUCGGAGCUCUCCCGCCGCACCGCCGGUGAGGCUUGUGUAGAAGGCACCGCCGGUGAGGCUUGUGUGAAGGGCGCCGCCAGCCUCAGCUCCCGUCUUGGAUCGAUCCCCUCCUCCUUCCCUCGUGCGCCACACCAGGAGAGGAGCGCCGCGCCCCAGCUCCUCUUCAUCGAGCCGCCUCCUG